rnacentral:tRNA from 1 species
CACUUAGUGGCCGAAUAGGUGUAAGUCUUUUAAACUUAUUAUAGUAAUACUCUUAGUG